rnacentral:siRNA from 1 species
GAUAUGUUCGGAUUCCCUAGAGGG